GUUGCCACAAGGAUGGGUCAAAGAGAUAGUAUACAGAAGAACAAGGACAAGGACGGGAAUAAAGAAAUAUCUGUACUAUACGGAUCCUGUUACCCAAUAUGUCUUCCGUACUCUGAAGGCUGCAAUUAGAUUUCUUGAAACGGGGGAAGUCACAAAACGUAAAUUUAUUCAAAAGACAAGUGUCCAUGACUUGUACUCUUUUGAAAAAUCUGCUGAUCUGCAUGAGAGUUUGCACAAGAGACUAGCAAAUAUUUUGAAGUAUGCUAAAACACGUGC